GGCUACAGCCAUAUAACCCUGCAGCUGGUUACUUACUGACGCUAAGCAGGGCUGAGCCAGGUCAGUACCUGGCUGGGAGACCACAUGGGAAAACCAGGCUGCUGUUGGAA
rnacentral:rRNA from 1 species